AGACUGUACUGGUGUCUCUGAGCAAAAUUCUGCUGAAGAACAUAUGCCCUGGUAUGGGAAGUGUGCUAUUUGACUGGGGAGCUAUCUCACUCAUCUGAAAGAAAACUGACUUUUUUGCUGAAUGUAGCCAGCUCUCAUUCGGAAAUUUGAUUCCGUGUAGAGGUAAAUCACAGUGGAUUGAAAUGACAUACAGCAUUGAAAGGGACUUCCACAAGGGCAUGGAUGUGAUGAAAAGCACUGGGAUCAACUUUGAAGAGUAGUUAUCGUGAAAAUGGAAACCGCCUUUAAAGGCACUUCACAGUCUACCCAUUGGGCAUAUGACAAAGGGAAAAGAAAGAAACCUAAUCAAAUUGUGCUGUCUGCAAUGCUGAAUAUAUCUCCAUGUCUGUCUUUCAUGGUGGCAAAAAAGAAUGGAAGAAAAAGAAGGUACAGGAAAGAAAAUGAGAAAAAUUUGCUGAUCACUUACUAUGUCCACAAC
ensembl:lncRNA